UACGUAGGGUGCGAGCGUUAAUCGGAAUUACUGGGCGUAAAGCGUGCGCAGGCGGUUUUGUAAGCCAGAUGUGAAAUCCCCGGGCUUAACCUGGGAAUGGCAUUUGGGACUGCAAGGCUUGAGUGCGGCAGAGGAGACUGGAAUUCCCGGUGUAGCAGUGAAAUGCGUAGAUAUCAGGAGGAACACCGGUGGCGAAGGCGGCUCUCUGGACGGAUACUGACGCUGAGGCGCGAAAGCGUGGGGAUCAAACAGG
rnacentral:rRNA from 1 species